UACGUGGAGGGCGAGCAUUACCCGGAUUUAUUGGGCGUAAAGAGCGCGUAGGUGGCCUAGUGGAUUUAGGGUUAAAUUCUCAAGCUCAACUUGAGAACCGCUCUAAAUAUCGCUAGGCUAGAGAUUAGGCUGGGUAACCGGAACUCGUGGUGUAGGGGUGAAAUCCGUUGAUAUCACGAGGAACGCCGAAAGCGAAAGCAGGUUACUAGUCUAUAUCUGACACUCAAGCGCGAAAGCGUGGGGAGCGAACCGG
rnacentral:rRNA from 1 species